UGUCACAUCUGUGAAUGUGGAAUGUGUUUUGUUGGUUGAUUGAAAAACAAGAAAACGUAAUAAAACUUUAAAUUGAAAAAGAAAAAAAAUCUGACACAGCGGUUGCAUUAAGAACCAGUGUAUCUUUAAUUAUAUGUAGAACAUGUAUCUUUCGUCAAAGUUGUUGAUGAGUAUUUCUGUUAUCUGGUGUAGCUAUCUAUAAUCCCUCCGGAUAUUUUGGAGGCAUUUCUGAACAUGGUGUCAAUGUAAACAGAGAUUUGUGGAUAUAAAUAGGCAUAUUAUCGAACAAAACAUAAAUGUAUUGUGUAACAUGUCAUAUGAGUGUCAUCUGAAGAAGAUUAUCAAAAGGUUAGUGAUUCAUUUUAUCUCUAAUUCGGCUUUUGUGACUCUAUCUUUGGCUGGAAAAAAUGGCUGUGUUUUUCUUUUGAUUUGGUGGUGGUCUAACAUAAAUAUAUAUUGUGUUUUUGCUGUAAAACAUUUUAAAAAUCGGACAUGACGGGUACAUUAACAAAAUGUUUAUCUUUCAUUUGCUGUAUUGGACUUGUUAAUGUGUGAAAGUUAAAUAUUUCUAAUGAAUAUUUUUGAAUUCCCCGCGCCACCUUUUCAGCUGAAUGGGAGGGGGGGGCUUCUAUCCAGAGCUUCUAUCCAGAGCCCUGUGCUGCCCUGUGGACAACCAGAGAGGGCUUCUGAAGAAGGAGAAGCUCAGCUCAGCUGCUCAGUUCCUACAGCUCCCCUUGGAGGAUGCGCACAUGAGCAGGACCAGGAGGAGGAACAUUGGAGGAGAGCAGGAAGAAGGAUACUGGCGGAACUACAGGGUCAGGAUUGAUUUAGGCUCACUGAGACAGAGCUGGAGCUGGAGACAGCCAGAUUUCAGACCCUGACCCUGGCAGGGAGACUGUGGUGUGAGGGAGGGAGGGGAGACAUGCUGUCGAUAAACGGGUUUUGAAUUAGCCUGUGUACCAGUCUGUUUAGCAAUGACACAGACUACAAGGAAUGGAAUGUUUGCUAAACAGGCUGGUACACAGGCUAGUGGAAUGUUAGCUAAACAGGCUGGUAUCCAGGCUAGUGCAAUGUUAGCUAAACAGGCUGGUACUCAGGCUAGUGGAAUGUUAGCUAAACAGGCUGGUACCCAGGCUAGUGGAAUGUUAGCUAAACAGGCUGGUACCCAGGCUCUGACUUCAUUUCCGGUCACAACUUGCAGACUUGUUUUCGAGUUGCUGUGCGUUUUGUUGCCAACCUAUUUUGCUGCCUGACAACUUUACGGUUUUUACUUUUUAAUUACCGUUUAUAUAUAUAUAUAUAUUUUUUUCCUCAACUUUUUCACUCUGGACGCUUUAUCUGGACACGAUUCAUCAGGACCUCCAACAGCCGAAGCUAAGUAGUAACAUUAACAUGAUGCCUUCUAAUUGCAGUCGCUGUACUCGCCUUACGGCGAGGAUAGCUGUGCUACAAGCCCAGCUUCAGACGCAAUCGUUAGGCAAGGGUAAUUUCAGUGUAGGAAAGGAUGAAACAGCGUCUGUGCCACCAGUAAGUACAGAUAGUAGUAUAAAUCCCCUGGCACAGUCCCCGCAGCCGGACAACUUUCUCACGGUUUCUGUAAGGAAAUGCUGUAGGAACACUCAACCGGUGUCGCUCAUUCAGCCGACAGAAACUUUCAACCGGUUUUCCCCAUUAAGCAGCCAGUCAGAGUCAGAGGCCGAGUCUUCUCUGGUCUCUACUCCUCCCGUUACGGGGUCUGAGACGCCGAAGCUUCCCACCAUUAGCUCUGACAAAUUGAAAACUCUAGUCAUUGGCGACUCCAUUACCCGCAGUAUUAGACUUAAAACGAAUCAUCCAGCGAUCAUACACUGUUUACCAGGGGGCAGGGCUACCGACGUUAAGGCUAAUCUGAAGAUGGUGCUGGCUAAAGCUAAAACUGGCGAGUGUAGAGAGUAUAGAGAUAUUGUUAUCCACGUCGGCACCAACGAUGUUCGGAUGAAACAAUCAGAGAUCACCAAGCGCAACAUAGCUUCUGCGUGUAAAUCAGCUAGAAAGAUGUGUCGGCAUCGAGUAAUUGUCUAUGGCCCCUUCCCAGUUAGGGGGAGUGAUGAGCUCUACAGCAGUCUCACAACUCUCAAUCGCUGGUUGAAAACUGUUUUCUGCCCCUCCCAAAAGAUAGAAUUUGUAGAUAAUUGGCCCUCUUUCUGGGACUCACCCACAAACAGGACCAAGCCUGACCUGCUGAGGAGUGACGGACUCCAUCCUAGCUGGAGGGGUGCUCUCAUCUUAUCUACCAACAUAGACAGGUCUCUAACUCCUCUAGCUCCACAAUGAAAUAGGGUGCAGGCCAGGCAGCAGGCUGUUAGCCAGCCAGCCUGGCAGCAUAGUGGAGUCUGCCACUAGCACAGUCAGUGUAGUCAGCUCAGCUAUCACCAUUGAGACCGUGUUCGCCUUAGCAAUCUCACUAGGAUAAAGACCACCUCCAUUUCUGUCAUUAUUGAAAGAGAUCAUGAUACCUCACAUCUCAAAAUAGUGCUACUUAAUUUUAGAUCCCUUACUUCAAAGGCAAUUAUAGUCAAUGAACUAAUCACUGAUCAUAAUCUUGAUGUGAUUGGCCUGACUGAAACAUGGCUUAAGCCUGAUGAAUUUACUGUGUUAAAUGAGGCCUCACCUCCUGGCUACACUAGUGACCAUAUCCCCUGUGCAUCCUGCAAAGGCGGAGGUGUUGCUAACAUUUACGAUAGCAAAUUUCAAUUUACAAAAAAAAAAAAUGACGUUUUCGUCUUUUGAACUUCUAGUCAUGAAAUCGAUGCAGUCUACUCAAUCACUUUUUAUAGCUACUGUUUACAGGCCUCCUGGGUCAUAUACAGCGUUCCUCACUGAGUUCCCUGAAUUGCUAUCGGGCCUUGUAGUCAUAGCAGAUAAUAUUCUAAUCUUUGGUGACUUUAAUAUUCACAUGGAAAAGUCCACAGACCCACUCCAAAAGGCUUUCGGAGCCAUCCAACAUGUCUCUGGACCCACUCACUGUCACAGUCAUACGCUGGACCUAGUUUUGUCCCAUGGAAUAAAUGUUGUGGAUCUUAAUGUUUUUCCUCAUAAUCCUGGACUAUCGGACCACCAUUUUAUUACGUUUGCAAUUGCAACAAAUAAUCUGCUCAGACCCCAACCAAGGAACAUCAAAAGUCGUGCUAUGAAUUCACAGACAACACAAAGAUUCCUUGAUGUCCUUCCAGAUUCCCUCUGUCUACCCAAGGACGCCAGAGGACAAAAAUCAGUUAACCACCUAACUGAGGAACUCAAUUUAACCUUGCGCAAAACCCUAGAUGCAGUUGCACCCCUAAAAACUAAAAACAUUUCUCAUAAGAAACUAGCUCCCUGGUAUACAGAAAAUACCCGAGCUCUGAAGAAAGCUUCCAAAAAAUUGGAACGGAAAUGGCGCCACACCAAACUGGAAGUCUUCCGACUAGCUUGGAAAGACAGUACCGUGCAGUACCGAAGAGCCCUUACUGCUGCUCGAUCAUCCUAUUUUUCUAACUUUAAUUGAGGAAAAUAAGAACAAUCCGAAAUUCCUUUUUGAUACUGUCGCAAAGCUAACUAAAAAGCAGAAUUCCCCAAGAGAGGAUGACAUUCACUUUAGCAGUGAUAAAUUCAUGAACUUCUUUGAGGAAAAGAUUAUGAUUAUUAGAAAGCAAAUUACGGACUCCUCUUUAAAUCUGCGUAUUCCUUCAAAGCUCAGUUGUCCUGAGUCUGCACAACUCUCCCAGGACCUAGGAUCAAGAGAGACGCUCAAGUGUUUUAGUACUAUAUCUCUUGACACAAUGAUGAAAAUAAUCAUGGCCUCUAAACCUUCAAGCUGCAUACUGGACCCUAUUCCAACUAAACUACUGAAAGAGCUGCUUCCUGUGCUUGGCCCUCCUAUGUUGAACAUAAUAAACGGCUCUCUAUCCACCGGAUGUGUACCAAACUCACUAAAAGUGGCAGUAAUAAAGCCUCUCUUGAAAAAGCCAAAACUUGACCCAGAAAAUGUGAAAAUCUAUCAGCCUAUAUCAAAUCUUCCAUUCCUCUCAAAAACUGAAGACAAACAAUGUAUACCAAAUGCUUCAGUCUGGUUUUAGAACCCAUCAUAGCACUGAGACGGCACUUGUGAAGGUGGUAAAUUACAUUUUAAUGGCAUCGGACCGAGGCUCUGCAUCUGUCCUCGUGCUCCUAGACCUUAGUGCUGCUUUUGAUACCAUCGAUCACCACAUUCUUUUGGAGAGAUUGGAAACCCAAAUUGGUCUACACGGACAAGUUCUGGCCUGGUUUAGAUCUUAUCUGUCGGAAAGAUAUCAGUUUGUCUCUGUGAAUGGUUUGUCCUCUGACAAAUCAACUGUAAAUUUCGGUGUUCCUCAAGGUUCCGUUUUAGGACCACUAUUGUUUUCACUAUAUAUUUUACCUCUUGGGGAUGUUAUUCGAAAACAUAAUGUUAACGUUCACUGCUAUGCGGAUGACACACAGCUGGACAUUUCAAUGAAACAUGGUGAAGCCCAAAAAUUGCCCUUGCUAGAAGCAUGUGUUUCAGACAUAAGGAAGUGGAUGGCUGCAAACUUUCUACUUUUAAACUCAGACAAAACAGAGAUGCUUGUUCUAGGUCCCAAGAAACAAAGAGAUCCUCUGUUGAAUCUGACAAUCAAUCUUAAUGGUUGUACAGUCGUCUCAAAUAAAACUGUGAAGGACCUCGGCGUUACUCUGGACCCUGAUCUCUCUUUUGAAGAACAUAUCAAGACCAUUUCAAGGACAGCUUUUUUCCAUCUACGUAACAUUGCAAAAAUCAGAAACUUUCUGUCCAAAAAUGAUGCAGAAAAAUUCAUCCAUGCUUUUGUCACUUCUAGGUUAGACUACUGCAAUGCUCUACUUUCCGGCUACCCGGAUAAAGCACUAAAUAAACUUCAGUUAGUGCUAAAUACGGCUGCUAGAAUCCUGACUAGAACCCAAAAAUUUGAUCAUAUUACUCCAGUGCUAGCCUAUCUACACUGGCUUCCUGUCAAAGCAAGGGCUAAUUUCAAGGUUUUACUGCUAACCUACAAAGCAUUACAUGGGCUUGCUCCUACCUAUCUCUCUGAUUUGGUCCUGCCGUACAUACCUACACGUGCGCUGCAGUCACAAGACGCAGGCCUCCUAAUUGUCCCUAGAAUUUCUAAGCAAACAGCUGGAGGCAGGGCUUUCUCCUAUAGAGCUCAAUUUUUAUGGAACGGUCUGCCUACCCAUGUCAGAGACGCAAACUCGGUCUCAACCUUUAAGUCUUUACUGAAGACUCAUCUCUUCAAUGGGUCAUAUGAUGUGGUCAUCCUGUCUGGGUUGGUGCCCCCUUGGGUUGUGCCAUGGCGGAGAUCUUUGUGGGCUAUACUCAGCCUUGUCUCAGGAUGGUAAGUUGGUGGUUGAAGAUAUCCCUCUAGUGGUGUGGGAGCUGUGCUUUGGCAAAGUGGGUGGGGUUAUAUCCUUCCUGUUUGGCCCUGUCCGGGGGUGUCCUCGGAUGGGGCCACAGUGUCUCCUGACCCCUCCUGUCUCAGCCUCCAGUAUUUAUGCUGCAGUAGUUUAUGUGUCGGGGGGCUAGGGUCAGUUUGUUAUAUCUGGAGUACUUCUCGUGUCCUAUUCGGUGUCCUUCCUAUUCGGUGUCCUGUGUGAAUCUAAGUGUGCGUUCUCUAAUUCUCUCCUUCUCUCUUUCUUUCUCUCUCUUGGAGGACCUGAGCCCUAGGACCAUGCCCCAGGACUACCUGACAUGAUGACUCCUUGCUGUCCCCAGUCCACCUGACUGUGCUGUUGCUCCAGUUUCAACUGUUCUGCCUUAUUAUUAUUCGACCAUGCUGGUCAUUUAUGAACAUUUGAACAUCUUGGCCAUGUUCUGUUAUAAUCUCCACUCGGAACAGCCAGAAGAGGACUGGCCACCCCACAUAGCCUGGUUCCUCUCUAGGUUUCUUCCUAGGUUUUGGCCUUUCUAGGGAGUUUUUCCUAGUCACCGUGCUUCUACACCUGCAUUGCUUGCUGUUUGGGGUUUUAGGCUGGGUUUCUGUACAGCACUUUGAGAUAUCAGCUGAUGUACGAAGGGCUAUAUAAAUACAUUUGAUUUUGAUUUGAUUUGCUAGUGGAAUGUUAGCUAAACAGGCUGGUACUCAGGCUAGUGGAAUGUUAGCUAAGCAUGCUGGUACUCAGGCUAGUGGAAUGUUAGCUAAACAGGCUGGUAUCCAGGCUGGUGGAAUGUUAGCUAAACAGGCUGAUGCCCAGGCUAGUGGGAUGUUAGCUAACAGGCUGGUACACAGGCUAGUUAUGAAUUUAUUCAGCUGAAUUACAGUGCAGUGCCUUCUACUGCCCCAUGAUAUUUACCGGAUGUAUACUAAUAUACUUAAAUGCAAAAUAUGAACAGUUACAUGUGUUUUGUGCUGCUGUUUAUUUUGUGGGGGAAAAUAAAUGCAUGUAUUGAUAACCUACAGUGUAAAGUGUAAAUACAAUUAUAUUGUCAUUGGAAUACAAUGUUUGCCACAACAAUGUAAUCUCUGACAGUGUAAUCUCUGGAAUGAAUUCCUCUCUCUCUGGGUGAAGAGAUACUGUGGAGUAUUAAAUGGAUGAUGAUUGCCUCCCUAUUUGGGAGCCUUUUAUAUUCAGUCUCCUUUGUUGGGUUGUUAGUAUUCACUCCAUACGCCUUCAAAUAAAAAAGGAGGAUGACCAUAAUGCUUUCGUGAUAAGGAGAAGAGAGAGAACAGAAAGGGAGGGGAAAGACCUCAGUGGUGAGUGUGGGGGUGUGGGGGGUGGGUGGAGAUAAUGGAGGAUUAAUGACGUAGUUUCUAGCCUUUUGAGCUUGAGCUGGAACUGCUGUUCACCCAAUUGAAUACCCCCCUAUCUCUGUGCCUCUGCCGCUCUCUCUCAAUUCAAUUCAAGGGCUUUAUUGGCAUGGGAAACAUAUGUUAACACUGCCAAAGCAAGUGAAGUAGAUAAUAAACAAAGGUGAAAUGAACAAUAAAAAUGAACAGUAAACGUUACUCUCUCUCUCUCUCAAUUCAAUUCAAUGGCGUUAUUGGCAUGGAAAGCAUAUGUUAACAUUGCCACAGCAAGUGAUGUAGAUAAUAAACAAAAGUGAAAUAAACAAUAACAAUUAUUUCUUUCUCUCUCUCUCUCUCUCUCUCUCUCUCUCUCUCUCUCUCUCUCUCUCUCAUACAAACACACUCAAACACAUACCUUGACGUGAUUGGUCCACACGGCACACCGGAUGCUCACAGAGAAGAAUAUUUGGAUCUGUGCUGCUCUUCAUACAGUACUGGACGUGUCAUUUACUGAGAAAUAAAGAGGUGAGGACUGAUAACUUGGAGUAAUAGGUUCUACGUAGAGGGGAGAAAGAAGAACAAGUGAGACAGAGAGGAGGAGAGAAAGAGAAGAACUCUUAGCCACCCCACUUAACCAUCCUCAGGCGUGUCUCUCAGCAGUUCUGCGUCUCAUUGUAGAAGAGAGUACAAGUAGGCUACAGAUUCUCAAAGAAACCACUGUCUUUGUACUAUUCUGCACAUCCCACUCUAACUCUUCCAUUUCCCGGGGCUGGACUUCACACAGAACAGCAAGAAGAACAGUCAUCGGUGGAUAGAGAUUGACGUUGAACUACAGACCGUAGAAAACCUGGGGCUAGCAGAGACUACUAUGGAGUCAGCACAGAAUAAAGCUCAACCAACCUCUCCUCAUAAACAUACAGUGAAGAACAGGUCCAAGUCAACAGAUGAGAUUCAACAAGCCAAAAAGGUGGACGACAUUAUACCGUCCGUCAGUUUGCUCAUUUUGAGCUCAGGAGUGGCGCAGCAGUCUAAGGCACUGCAUCUCAGUGCCCAGAGGCAUCACUACAGACCCUGGUUUGAUCCUGGGCUGUAUCACAACCAGCCGUGAUAAAGUGUCCCAUAGGGCAGCGAACAAUUGGCCCAGCGGCCAGAGUAGGCAGUCAUUGUAAAUAAGAAUUUAUUCUUAACUGACUUGCCUAGUUAAAUAAAGGUUAAAAAAAAUGUAAAUGUCAUGUGUAUUCAAAAGCAUAUUGAUCCAUCUCAUUGUUUUACAGCUGGGAGUGCCCCUUGCUGGUGUGUUUAAACCACCUGAGCUGCAGGUCUUUCUUUCAUUACAACACAUGGCAUGUUAUGGCGGAGAGAGGGGGAGAGAGAGAGAUGACUGCCAAUUCCUUAAACUAGUGAUGGAACUAGUGUUAAAUCAGAUAGAUAACUUUGGUCUGGUUUCCUUUUGUUGGUAUGCUAACGAUAGUCUUUCUCCAGGCUUUUCACACGACACAGAAAUCAUUGCCAGGGAAGCCGGAGACUGAGAAUAAGGAGCCCCCAGAGAGUCCAUCCUCAUCAGAAGAACUGAAAUGAAGGGGCAGACAGCACCAGGCAGAGAGUCAGAGUCAUGGGCUACAUCAAUCAUUCCUCUGGAAAUCUAUUCAGUUUUCUGCAGUUUGUAUUCUCAUAACGACAAAAAGGCUGUACAUUUUUUGUAAACGUCUUAUGAAUGUGGUUGUUUACUGAAUAAGAAAAAGUGUCUAAUGCAUUGUUUGUGAGGAUAUGAUGUUGAAAGAAUGACUAGAGACUUACUCUACAAAACACAGGCACUUAAUAGAAAGCUGUAAUUAAGCGAGUGGAAAACAUAUGUGCAUGUGCCAGUUGGGAUGUGUGUAAGUAUGAGGUAUAGUGGAUUUGUUAUGUACACUCUCCUAAAACAUUUUGUUUUUUGGAACUUAUGUCAGAAUUAAUGUCAGUAUGCACUUUGAAAAUGUGAAGCAAUUGAGCCUGUAAAUAAACCUUGUGUAUGUUCAAAAAACAA